rnacentral:pre_miRNA from 9 species
UCCUAAUAGCGUAAAAGUUAACUCAAAUUUUCAUGGAGUUGGAACGUAUGUCUAUGUUUGCCGCUAGGGGCGCUGUUACAACUGCAUACAAAAUUUGAGUUAACUUUUACGCUAUCGA